UUCAACAUCUAGUAUCCAUUGUUUACGGCUAGGACUACUGGGGUAUCUAAUCCCAUUUGCUACCCUAGCUUUCGUCUCUGAGUGUCAGUAAUAGCCCAGUAAAGUGCCUUCGCCAUCGGUGUUCUUUCCAAUCUCUACGCAUUUCACCGCUCCACUGGAAAUUCCCUUUACCCCUACUAUACUCUAGUCUAAUAGUUUCGACUGCGAUUUUGAGGUUGAGCCUCAAGAUUUAACAGUUGACUUAUUAAACCACCUACAGACGCUUUACGCCCAGUGAUUCCGGAUAACACUUGCAUCCUCCGUAUUACCGCGGCUGCUGGCACGGAGUUAGCCGAUGCUUAUUCUUCAGGUAACGUCAUUUAUUCCUCCCUGAAAAAAGAGGUUUACAACCCAUAGGCAGUCAUCCCUCACGCGAGAUUGCUCCGUCAGGCUUUCGCCCAUUGCGGAAGAUUCCCCACUGCUGCCUCCCGUAGGAGUCUGGACCGUGUCUCAGUUCCAGUGUGUCUGAUCGUCCUCUCAAACCAGAUACUGAUCGCCGCCUUGGUGAGCCAUUACCUCACCAACAAGCUAAUCAGCCGCAAGCUUCUCUCUAGGCGGAUAUAAUCCAUUUCACUCGAAAGCAUAUGGGGUAUUAGCAACCGUUUCCAGUUGUUGUCCCCCUCCUAAAGGCAAAUUCUUACGUGUUACUCACCCGUCCGCCACUUGAAUCAAAGAUUCUCGUAUGACUUGCAUGUGUAAAGCAUCUCGCUAGCGUUCAUCCUGAGCCAGGAUCAAACUCU
rnacentral:rRNA from 1 species